AUUGAACGCUGGCGGAAUGCUUUACACAUGCAAGUCGAACGGUAGAGGGGGCAACCCCUCGAGAGUGGCGAACGGGUGAGUAAUACAUCGGAACGUGCCCAGUCGUGGGGGAUAACGUAGCGAAAGUUACGCUAAUACCGCAUACGAUCUCAGGAUGAAAGCGGGGGACCGUAAGGCCUCGCGCGAUUGGAGCGGCCGAUGUCAGAUUAGGUAGUUGGUGAGGUAAAGGCUCACCAAGCCUGCGAUCUGUAGCUGGUCUGAGAGGACGACCAGCCACACUGGGACUGAGACACGGCCCAGACUCCUACGGGAGGCAGCAGUGGGGAAUUUUGGACAAUGGGCGCAAGCCUGAUCCAGCCAUUCCGCGUGCAGGACGAAGGCCUUCGGGUUGUAAACUGCUUUUGUACGGAACGAAAAGCCUUGGGCUAAUACCCCGAGGUCAUGACGGUACCGUAAGAAUAAGCACCGGCUAACUACGUGCCAGCCGCCGCCGUAA
rnacentral:rRNA from 1 species